UACGGGGGGAGCAAGCGUUGUUCGGAUUUACUGGGCGUAAAGGGCGCGUAGGCGGUCAGCACAAGUCAGUUGUGAAAUCUCCGGGCUUAACUCGGAAAGGUCAACUGAUACUGUGCGACUAGAGUGCAGAAGGGGCAACUGGAAUUCUCGGUGUAGCGGUGAAAUGCGUAGAUAUCGGGAGGAACAUCAGUGGCGAAGGCGGCCUUCUGGUCCAGUACUGACACUCAAGUGCGAAAGCGUGGGGAGCAAACAGGG
rnacentral:rRNA from 1 species